rnacentral:rRNA from 1 species
CGCGUAGGUGGUAGUGCAAGUCUGGGGUGGAAUCCCAGGGCUUAACCCUGGAACUGCCUUGGAAACUGUAUUACUUGAGUCAGUGAGGGGAGGGUAGAAUUCCUGGUGUAGCGGUGAAAUGCGUAGACAUCAGGAGGAAGGCCUGUGGCGAAGGCGGCCCUCUGGCGCUGAACUGACACUGAGGCGCGAAAGCGUGGGUAGCAAACAGGAUUAGAUACCCUGGUAGUCCACGCCCUAAACGGUGGGUACUAGGUGUGGGGCUCGUAAGGGUUCUGUGCCGAAGCGAAAGCAUUAAGUACCCCGCCUGGGGAGUACGGCCGCAAGGUUGAA